CCCCAGGAACGGCUCAAGCUCAAUCUGUCGCCUUGGGCUGCAGCUUGGCUGAGGGAGAAGGGAAGGCCCUCAAGUCCCCAGCGAGUGCAGAAAGGUACCCCGGGCCAUCUGAAAUGUGACGCCUCUCCCCAGCCCUACGUCUGCCCUCCAAAGUUCCUGGAAACGGUUCAUGGCCUCACCCCGACUUUCUAGCCCCUCCUCACCCCAUUCAUCACUAAGAUAGGACUUUUAUAAGAGGUUGCAUGAAGUGGAUGGAGUCACUGAAGACCUGGGUUGGAAUCCUGCCCAAGAUGCAUUGCAUGAUGUGGUUGAAGAUAUCUGCAUAAAGAGAAAACUCAAAAUAUACAGCUCUGUGCAACUAGGAAACUACACUUUAAUCCCUCUUCCUGAGAGGGAGAGAAAAAGAAAAAUUCUGUAUCGAAGAUGUUUAAAACUACAGCGCCCCUAAUCUCCCCCCCUUCCCACCCACCCUCCUUCAACUUAUCUAAAUCAUUAUCUUCUUACAAAUUUACCAGCUCUGAGGUGGUGACUUUAG